rnacentral:rRNA from 1 species
AGGUCUUGACAUCUAGCGCCAAUCUCAGAGAUGAGACGUUCCCUUCGGGGACGCUAAGACAGGUGGUGCAUGGUUGUCGUCAGCUCGUGUCGUGAGAUGUUGGGUUAAGUCCGCAACGAGCGCAACCCUUAUUAUCAGUUGCCAGCAUUCAGUUGGGCACUCUGGUGAGACUGCCGGUGACAAACCGGAGGAAGGUGGGGACGACGUCAAAUCAUCAUGCCCCUUAUGACCUGGGCUACACACGUGCUACAAUGGACGGUACAACGAGUUGCGAACUCGCGAGGGUAAGCUAAUCUCUUAAAGCCGUUCUCAGUUCGGACUGUAGGCUGCAACUCGCCUACACGAAGUCGGAAUCGCUAGUAAUCGCGGAUCAGCAUGCCGCGGUGAAUACGUUCCCGGGCCUUGUACACACCGCCCGUCACACCAUGAGAGUUUGUAACACCCAAAGUCGGUGGGGUAACCCUUCGGGGAGCCAGCCGCCUAAGGUGGGACAGAUGAUUAGGGUGAAGUCGUAACAAGGUAGGCGUAGACGU